rnacentral:rRNA from 1 species
UGUAGCAAGGUUAACCGUAUAGGGGAGCCGAAGGGAAACCGAGUCUUAACUGGGCGUUAAGUUGCAGGGUAUAGACCCGAAACCCGGUGAUCUAGCCAUGGGCAGGUUGAAGGUUGGGUAACACUAACUGGAGGACCGAACCGACUAAUGUUGAAAAAUUAGCGGAUGACCUGUGGCUGGGGGUGAAAGGCCAAUCAAACCGGGAGAUAGCUGGUUCUCCCCGAAAGCUAUUUAGGUAGCGCCUCGUGAACUCAUCUUCGGGGGUAGAGCACUGUUUCGGCUAGGGGGCCAUCCCGGCUUACCAACCCGAUGCAAACUACGAAUACCGAAGAAUGUUAUCACGGGAGACACACGGCGGGUGCUAACGUCCGUCGUGAAGAGGGAAACAACCCAGACCGCCAGCUAAGGUCCCAAAGUCAUGGUUAAGUGGGAAACGAUGUGGGAAGGCACAGACAGCCAGGAUGUUGGCUUAGAAGCAGCCAUCAUUUAAAGAAAGCGUAAUAGCUCACUGGUCGAGUCGGCCUGCGCGGAAGAUGUAACGGGGCUAAACCAUGCACCGAAGCUGCGGCAGCGACACUAUGUGUUGUUGGGUAGGGGAGCGUUCUGUAAGCCGUUGAAGGUGUGCUGUGAGGCAUGCUGGAGGUAUCAGAAGUGCGAAUGCUGACAUAAGUAACGAUAAAGCGGGUGAAAAGCCCGCUCGCCGGAAGACCAAGGGUUCCUGUCCAACGUUAAUCGGGGCAGGGUGAGUCGACCCCUAAGGCGAGGCCGAAAGGCGUAGUCGAUGGGAAACAGGUUAAUAUUCCUGUACUUGGUGUUACUGCGAAGGGGGGACGGAGAAGGCUAUGUCAGCCGGGCGACGGUUGUCCCGGUUUAAGCAUGUAGGCGGAGGUUCCAGGUAAAUCCGGUACCUUUUAACGCUGAGGUGUGAUGACGAGGCACUACGGUGCUGAAGUGAUAAAUGCCCUGCUUCCAGGAAAAGCCUCUAAGCAUCAGGUAACACGAAAUCGUACCCCAAACCGACACAGGUGGUCAGGUAGAGAAUACCAAGGCGCUUGAGAGAACUCGGGUGAAGGAACUAGGCAAAAUGGUGCCGUAACUUCGGGAGAAGGCACGCUGAUAGGUAGGUGAAGUCCCUGCGGACGGAGCUGAAAUCAGUCGAAGAUACCAGCUGGCUGCAACUGUUUAUUAAAAACACAGCACUGUGCAAACACGAAAGUGGACGUAUACGGUGUGACGCCUGCCCGGUGCCGGAAGGUUAAUUGAUGGGGUUAGCGGCAACGCGAAGCUCUUGAUCGAAGCCCCGGUAAACGGCGGCCGUAACUAUAACGGUCCUAAGGUAGCGAAAUUCCUUGUCGGGUAAGUUCCGACCUGCACGAAUGGCGUAAUGAUGGCCAGGCUGUCUCCACCCGAGACUCAGUGAAAUUGAACUCGCUGUGAAGAUGCAGUGUACCCGCGGCAAGACGGAAAGACCCCGUGAACCUUUACUAUAGCUUGACACUGAACACUGGUCCUUGAUGUGUAGGAUAGGUGGGAGGCUUUGAAGCGUGGACGCCAGUCUGCGUGGAGCCAUCCUUGAAAUACCACCCUUUAAUGGCUGGUGUUCUAACGUAGACCCGUGAUCCGGGUUGCGGACAGUGUCUGGUGGGUAGUUUGACUGGGGCGGUCUCCUCCCAAAGAGUAACGGAGGAGCACGAAGGUUGGCUAAUCCUGGUCGGACAUCAGGAGGUUAGUGCAAUGGCAUAAGCCAGCUUGACUGCGAGCGUGACGGCGCGAGCAGGUGCGAAAGCAGGUCAUAGUGAUCCGGUGGUUCUGAAUGGAAGGGCCAUCGCUCAACGGAUAAAAGGUACUCCGGGGAUAACAGGCUGAUACCGCCCAAGAGUUCAUAUCGACGGCGGUGUUUGGCACCUCGAUGUCGGCUCAUCACAUCCUGGGGCUGAAGUAGGUCCCAAGGGUAUGGCUGUUCGCCAUUUAAAGUGGUACGCGAGCUGGGUUUAGAACGUCGUGAGACAGUUCGGUCCCUAUCUGCCGUGGGCGCUGGAGAAUUGAGGGGGGCUGCUCCUAGUACGAGAGGACCGGAGUGGACGCAUCACUGGUGUUCGGGUUGUCAUGCCAAUGGCACUGCCCGGUAGCUAAAUGCGGAAGAGAUAAGUGCUGAAAGCAUCUAAGCACGAAACUUGCCCCGAGAUGAGUUCUCCCUGAGACCUUGAGUCUCCUGAAGGAACGUUGAAGACGACGACGUUGAUAGGUCGGGUGUGUAAGCGCAGCGAUGCGUUGAGCUAACCGAUACUAAUGAACCGUGAGGCUUAACCUU